rnacentral:tRNA from 1 species
GGUCUAGUAGCUCAGUUGGAUAGAGCAACGGCCUUCUAAGCCGUGGGUCGCAGGUUCGAAUCCUGCCUGGAUCACCA